UGGGGAAUAUUGGACAAUGGGCGAAAGCCUGAUCCAGCAAUACCGCGUGUGUGAAGAAGGCCUUCGGGUUGUAAAGCACUUUAAGCAGGGAAGAAAAAACUAGUGUGAAUAUCACUAGUCUUGACGGUACCUGAAGAAUAAGCACCGGCUAACUCUGUGCCAGCAGCCGCGGUAAUACAGAGGGUGCAAGCGUUAAUCGGAUUUACUGGGCGUAAAGCGUGUGUAGGUGGUUGGGAAAGUCAAUUGUGAAAGCCCCGGGCUCAACUCGGGAACUGCUUUUGAUACUGUCUGACUAGAAUUCGGUAGAGGGAGGCGGAACUCCAGGUGUAGCGGUGAAAUGCGUAGAUAUCUGGAAGAACACCAAUGGCGAAGGCAACCUCCUGGGCCUGAAUUGACACUGAGACACGAAAGCGUGGGGAUCAAACAGGAUUAGAUACCCCCGUAGUCC
rnacentral:rRNA from 1 species